UACGUAGGGGGCAAGCGUUGUCCGGAUUUAUUGGGCGUAAAGAGCGUGUAGGCGGCCAUACAGGUCCGUUGUGAAAACUCGAGGCUUAACCUCGAGACGUCGAUGGAAACCGUAUGGCUAGAGUCCGGAAGAGGAGAGUGGAAUUCCUGGUGUAGCGGUGAAAUGCGCAGAUAUCAGGAAGAACACCCGUGGCGAAGGCGGCAUCCUGGACCGAGAUUGACGCUGAUGCGCGAAAGCCAGGGGAGCAAACGGG
rnacentral:rRNA from 1 species